rnacentral:piRNA from 1 species
CUAUAUCUUUAGCCUUUUGCA